UUUUAAAAUCUCCAAUGUAUUCUCAAAUUAUUCCUCUUUACAGAACCGAAGUGCAGCUCCCCACUUCAGGUAAUGUGAUUCUACCCUUUGCCUGAGAAACUGAAGGCAUAAUUCCACAGGACAUUCACAGUUGUGUGCUAGAGACAGAGAGGAGCAGGAAAGUGUUUUAGAAGCAUUUGCGGUGGACAAUGGAAGGCCCGGCUUCAUCGUAUUCCUGUUUGCUGAUCCACAUCUGCUGGAAGGUGGACAGAGAGGCCAGGAUGGAGCCACCGAUCCAGACAGAGUAUUUGCGCUCCGGAGGGGCAAUG
rnacentral:lncRNA from 1 species